GGACGAAAGUCUGACGGAGCAACGCCGCGUGAGUGAUGAAGGUUUUCGGAUCGUAAAGCUCUGUUGUUAGGGAAGAACAAGUACCGUUCGAAUAGGGCGUACCUUGACGGUACCUAACCAGAAAGCCACGGCUAACUACGUGCCAGCAGCCGCGGUAAUACGUAGGUGGCAAGCGUUUGUCCGGAAUUAUUGGGCGUAAAGGGCUCGCAGGCGGUUUCUUAAGUCUGAUGUGAAAGCCCCCCGGCUCAACCGGGGAGGGUCAUUGGAAACUGGGGAACUUGAGUGCAGAAGAGGAGAGUGGAAUUCCACGUGUAGCGGUGAAAUGCGUAGAGAUGU
rnacentral:rRNA from 1 species